AGAGUUUGAUCCUGGCUCAGAAUGAACGCUGGCGGCAUGGAUUAGGCAUGCAAGUCGAACGGAGACCCAGGCUUCGGCCUGGCGAUCAGUGGCGAAAGGGUGAGUAACACGUGAGUAACCUGCCCCCGAGUUUGGAAUAGCCCCGGGAAACCGGGAUUAAUACCGAAUGCGGUGCGACCGACUCCUGUCGGUUUCACCAAAGGUCCGCCGCUCGGGGAUGGGCUCGCGACCCAUUAGCUUGUUGGUGAGGUAACGGCCCACCAAGGCUAUGACGGGUAGCUGGUCUGAGAGGAUGGUCAGCCACACUGGGACUGAGACACUGCCCAGACUCCUACGGGAGGCUGCAGUCGAGAAUCAUCCGCAAUGGGCGAAAGCCUGACGGUGCGAUGCCGCGUGAGGGAUGAAGGCCUUCGGGUUGUAAACCUCUGUCAGGAGGGACGAAGAAGUGACGGUACCUCCAGAGGAAGCCAUGGCUAACUACGUGCCAGCAGCCGCGGUAAUACGUAGAUGGCGAGCGUUAUUCGGAUUUACUGGGCGUAAAGGGUCCGCAGGGGGUUUGCCUAGUCUGAUGUGAAAUCCCGAGGCUCAACUUCGGAACUGCAUUGGAUACUGGUGAACUAGAGUGCACGAGGGGUGAGCGGAAUUCCUGGCGUAGCGGUGGAAUGCGUAGAUAUCAGGAAGAACACCGAUGGCGAAGGCGGCUCACUGGCGUGCUACUGACCCUCAUGGACGAAAGCGUGGGUAGCGAACAGGAUUAGAUACCCUGGUAGUCCACGCUGUAAACGUUGUGCACUAGAUGUGGGUGGUUUUGAUCCCACUCGUGUCCAAGCUAACGCGUUAAGUGCACCGCCUGGGGACUACGGCCGCAAGGCUAAAACUCAAAGGAAUUGACGGGGGCCCGCACAAGCGGUGGAGCAUGUGGCUCAAUUCGAGGCAACGCGAAGAACCUUACCUGGGUUUGACAUACACCGGACCGCCUUCUGAAAGGAGGGCUUCCCUUCGGGGCCUGUGUACAGAUGCUGCAUGGCUGUCGUCAGCUCGUGUCGUGAGAUGUUCGGUUAAGUCCGGCAACUAGCGCAACCCGUGUCGUCAGUUGCCAUCAGGUAAUGCUGGGCACUUUGGCGAGACUGCCCGUGUCAAGCGGGAGGAAGGCGCGGAUGACGUCAAGUCCGUAUGGCUCUUACAUCCAGGGCUGCACACGUGCUACAAUGGACGGUACAAUGGGAAGCAAUACCGCGAGGUGGAGCAAAUCCGUAAAAGCCGUCCCCAGUUCGGAUUGGAGUCUGCAAUUCGACUCCAUGAAGUCGGAAUCGCUAGUAAAGGGGUAUCAGCAACGGCCCCUUGAAUACGUUCCCGGGCCUUGUACACACCGCCCGUCACAUCAUGGAAGCCGGCUGCACCCGAAGUCCGUGGUCCGACCCUUAGGGGAGGAAGCGGCCGAAGGUGUGUCCGGUGACUGGGAUGAAGUCGUAACAAGGUA
rnacentral:rRNA from 1 species